GUUUGAUCCUGGCUCAGAACGAACGCUGGCGGCAUGCCUAACACAUGCAAGUCGAACGAGACCUUCGGGUCUAGUGGCGCACGGGUGCGUAACGCGUGGGAAUCUGCCCUUGGGUUCGGAAUAACUCAGAGAAAUUUGAGCUAAUACCGAAUGAUGUCGCAAGACCAAAGAUUUAUCGCCCAAGGAUGAGCCCGCGUAGGAUUAGCUUGUUGGUGAGGUAGAAGCUCACCAAGGCGACGAUCCUUAGCUGGUCUGAGAGGAUGAUCAGCCACACUGGGACUGAGACACGGCCCAGACUCCUACGGGAGGCAGCAGUGGGGAAUAUUGGACAAUGGGCGAAAGCCUGAUCCAGCAAUGCCGCGUGAGUGAUGAAGGCCUUAGGGUUGUAAAGCUCUUUUACCAGGGAUGAUAAUGACAGUACCUGGAGAAUAAGCUCCGGCUAACUCCGUG
rnacentral:rRNA from 1 species